UGGGUUUGACAUGCAGAGGACAGGUGUAGAAAUACACCCUCCCUUCGGGGUCUCUGUACAGGUGCUGCAUGGCUGUCGUCAGCUCGUGUCGUGAGAUGUUGGGUUAAGUCCCGCAACGAGCGCAACCCUUGCCUUUAGUUGCUAGCGCGUAAUGGCGAGCACUCUAGAGGGACUGCCGGUGGUAAGCCGGAGGAAGGUGGGGAUGACGUCAAGUCCUCAUGGCCCUUACAUCCAGGGCUACACACGUGCUACAAUGGCCGAUACAAAGGGCUCCGAUACCGCGAGGUGGAGGCAAUCCCAAAAAAUCGGUCUCAGUUCGGAUUGCAGUCUGCAACUCGACUGCAUGAAGG
rnacentral:rRNA from 1 species